GAGUUUGAUCUUGGCUCAGAUUGAACGCUGGCGGCAGGCCUAACACAUGCAAGUCGAGCGGAUGAAGGGAGCUUGCUCCUGGAUUCAGCGGCGGACGGGUGAGUAAUGCCUAGGAAUCUGCCUGGUAGUGGGGAUAACGUCCGGAAACGGGCGCUAAUACCGCAUACGUCCUGAGGGAGAAAGUGGGGGAUCUUCGGACCUCACGCUAUCAGAUGAGCCUAGGUCGGAUUAGCUAGUUGGUGGGGUAAAGGCCUACCAAGGCGACGAUCCGUAACUGGUCCGAGAGGAUGAUCAGUCACACUGGAACUGAGACACGGUCCAGACUCCUACGGGAGGCAGCAGUGGGGAAUAUUGGACAAUGGGCGAAAGCCUGAUCCAGCCAUGCCGCGUGUGUGAAGAAGGUCUUCGGAUUGUAAAGCACUUUAAGUUGGGUAGGAAGGGCGAGUAAGUUAAUACCUUGCUGUUUUGUACGUUACCUAACAGAAUAAGCACCGGCUAACUUCGUGCCAGCAGCCGCAGUAA
rnacentral:rRNA from 1 species